rnacentral:rRNA from 1 species
UACAGAGGUCUCAAGCGUUGUUCGGAUUCAUUGGGCGUAAAGAGCUCGUAGGCGGUUUGUCGCGUCUGCUGUGAAAACCUAAGGCUCAACCUUGGGCUUGCAGUGGGUACGGGCAGACUAGAGUGCGGUAGGGGUGACUGGAAUUCCUGGUGUAGCGGUGGAAUGCGCAGAUAUCAGGAGGAACACCGAUGGCGAAGGCAGGUCACUGGGCCGCAACUGACGCUGAGGAGCGAAAGCAUGGGGAGCGAACAGG